GUUUUUAAGACACUAGCUCUCCAGCAGAAAGCUGGGGAUAGACUUCAGUUUCUCUACAAUAAUUGGAGUUGGUGUUGGAGCUGGAGCCUACAUCCUGGCGAGAUAUGCUCUUAACCACCCGGACACUGUUGAAGGUCUUGUCCUCAUCAACAUUGAUCCCAAUGCCAAGGGUUGGAUGGAUUGGGCAGCCCACAAGGUUUGGAGGGGCCUGUGUGCUGAGACCUACGGUUGGGGAUCCCCUCGUAUGGAUCCAGUUAGGCUCUGGUAGAUAGCCUAACUGGAUGGACUCUGAACUUCAAGGAGGGAGUAAAGGGGCAGGAAAGUGAAGCUGUCACUUUGCCUGAGUCUCUUAUAAUAUCCUGAACUUUCUUUUUCUUUUUCUUUUUUUUUUUUUUUUUGAGAUGGUGUCUCACUCUGUUGCCAAGGCUGGAGUGCAGUGGCUUGAUCUUGGCUCACUGCAACCUCUGCUUCCUGGGUUCAAGUGAUUCUCCUGCCUCAGCCUCCCAAGUAGCUGGGAUUACAGGCACCCGCCACCACGCCUGGCUAAUAUUUGUAUUAUUAGUAGAGAUGGG
rnacentral:lncRNA from 10 species